rnacentral:rRNA from 1 species
UGGUGGAGUGAUUCGUCUGGUUAAUUCCGUUAACGAACGAGACCUCCUUCUCUAACUAGUUCCGAGUACUCUCGGGUACUUUGGAUUCUUUAGACUUCUUAGAGGGACUGUCGGUUACUAGCCGAAGGAAGUUGGAGGCAAUAACA